AGCGAACGCUGGCGGCAGGCCUAACACAUGCAAGUCGAACGAAGUCUUCGGACUUAGUGGCGGACGGGUGAGUAACACGUGGGAACGUACCUUUUGGUUCGGAACAACUCAGGGAAACUUGAGCUAAUACCGGAUGAGCCCUUAGGGGGAAAGAUUUAUCGCCGAAAGAGCGGCCCGCGUUAGAUUAGCUGGUUGGUGAGGUAAAGGCUCACCAAGGCUACGAUCUAUAGCUGGUCUGAGAGGAUGAUCAGCCACACUGGGACUGAGACACGGCCCAGACUCCUAUGGGAGGCAGCAGUGGGGAAUCUUGCGCAAUGGGCGAAAGCCUGACGCAGCCAUGCCGCGUGAAUGAUGAAGGUCUUAGGAUUGUAAAAUUCUUUUACCAGGGACGAUAAUGACGGUACCUGGAGAAAAAGCCCCGGCUAACUUCGUGCCAGCCGCCGCCGUAA
rnacentral:rRNA from 1 species